rnacentral:rRNA from 1 species
UGAACGCUGGCGGCAUGCUUUACACAUGCAAGUCGAACGGCAGCACGGGUGCUUGCACCUGGUGGCGAGUGGCGAACGGGUGAGUAAUACAUCGGAACGUGCCCAGUAAUGGGGGAUAACUAUCCGAAAGGAUAGCUAAUACCGCAUACGCCCUGAGGGGGAAAGUGGGGGACCAGCAAUGGCCUCACGUUAUUGGAGCGGCCGAUGGCUGAUUAGCUAGUUGGUGAGGUAAAGGCUCACCAAGGCGACGAUCAGUAGCGGGUCUUAGGGGACGAUCCGCCACACUGGAACUGAGACACGGUCCAGACUCCUACGGGAGGCAGCAGUGGGGAAUCUUGGACAAUGGGCGCAAGCCUGAUCCAGCAAUGCCGCGUGGGUGAAGAAGGCCUUCGGGUUGUAAAGCCCUUUUGUUUGGGAGCAAAUCCUUCUGGUUAAUACCUAGCGGGGAUGAGAGUACCAAAAGAAUAAGCACCGGCUAACUACGUGCCAGCAGCCGCGGUAAUACGUAGGGUGCAAGCGUUAAUCGGAAUUACUGGGCGUAAAGCGUGCGCAGGUGGUUUUACAAGACCGACGUGAAAUCCCCGGGCUCAACCUGGGAAUGGCGUUGGUGACUGUAAGACUAGAGUGUGGCAGAGGGGGGUGGAAUUCCACGUGUAGCAGUGAAAUGCGUAGAGAUGUGGAGGAACACCGAUGGCGAAGGCAGCCCCCUGGGCUAACACUGACACUCAUGCACGAAAGCGUGGGGAGCAAACAGGAUUAGAUACCCUGGUAGUCCACGCCCUAAACGAUGUCAACUGGUUGUUGGGAAUUUCGAUUCUUAGUAACGUAGCUAACGCGAGAAGUGACC